UUCAGAACAGCUGAAACUCAGAAUAAAAGACAAAAAGUUUCUUCUAAUGCCUAUUUAUGGCACUUAAGACUUGGUCACAUAAAUCUCAAUAGGAUUGGGAGAUUAGUUAAAAGUGGGCUUCUAAGUCCGUUAGAAGAUAACUCUUUACCUCCUUGUGAAUCUUGUCUUGAAGGAAAAAUGACCAAGAGAUCUUUUACUGGAAAAGGUCUAAGAGCCAAAGGACCCUUAGAGCUCGUACAUUCGGACCUUUUGUGGACCAAUGAAUGUCAAAACUCGAGGUGGAUAUGAAUAUUUCAUUAGCUUCAUUGAUGAUUAUUCAAGGUAUGGUCAUAUUUACCUAAUACAUCAUAAGUCUAAUAGUCUUGAAAAGUUCAAAGAAUAUAAGGCUGAAGUAGAAAACGAAUUAGGUAAAACAAUAAAAAUACUUCGAUCAGAUCGAGGUGGAGAGUAUAUGGACUUACGAUUCCGAGACUAUUUAAUAGAAAAUGGAAUCCAGUCACAACUCUCUGCACCUAGUACACCUCAACAGAACGGUGUAUCAGAAAGAAGAAACCGGACCUUGUUAGACAUGGUUCGCUCUAUGAUGAGUUUUUCUCAGAUGUCAGAUUCUUUUUUGGGGAUAUGCUUUAGAAACAGCUGCUUAUAUUUUGAAUAAUGUUCCCUCUAAAAGUGUUUCAGAAACACCUUAUGAGCUAUGGAAAGGGCGUAAAGGCAGUUUACGUCAUUUUAGAAUUUGGGGUUGUCCAGCACACGUGUUGGUACAAAAUCCAAAGAAAUUGGAACAUCGUUCAAAAUUAUGCUUUUUAUAGGUUAUCCAAAAGAAUCAAGAGGUGGUUUGUUUUAUGAUCCUCAAGAAAAUAAAAUAUUUGUGUCAACAAAUGCCACAUUCUUAGAGGAAGACCACAUCAGGGAUCAUCAACCUCGUAGUAAACUAGUAUUAAAAGAAAUUUCCAAAAGUGCUAUAGAUAAACCUAGUUCAUCCACUAAGGUAGUUGAUAAGACUAGGAAAUCUGGUCAAUCACAUCCUUCUCAACAGUUGAGAGAGCCUCGACGUAGUGGGAGGGUUGUUCAUCAGCCUGAUCGCUAUUUGGGUUUAAUUGAAACUCAAGUCGUCAUACCUGACGAUGGCAUAGAGGAUCCAUUAACCUAUAAACAGGCAAUGAAAGAUGUAGAUCGUGAUGAAAAGGAUCAAAGCCAUGGAAGCCAUGGACUCGAAAUGGAGUCUAUGUACUUUAAUUCUGUCUAGACUCUAGUAGAUCAACCAAAUGACGUAAAACCUAUUGGUUGUAAAUGGAUCUACAAGAGAAAACGAGACCAUGCCGGUAAAGUACAGACUUUUAAGGCUCGACUUGUGGCAAAGGGUUAUACCCUAGAGAGAGGGAGUAGACUAUGAGGAAACUUUCUCUCCUGUUGCCAUGUUAAAGUCAAUUAGAAUACUCUUAUCCAUCGCCACUUUUUAUGAUUAUGAAAUUUGGCAGAUGGAUGUCAAGACAGCUUUUUUGAACGGUAAUCUUGAAGAGAGCAUCUAUAUGUCUCAACCAGAGGGGUUUAUAAAACAAGAUCAAGAACAAAAGGUUUGUAAGCUUAAAAAAAUCCAUUUAUGGAUUAAAACAAGCUUCUAGAUCCUGGAAUAUAAGAUUUGAUAUUGCGAUCAAAAUCUUAUGGCUUUGAACAAAAUGUUGACGAGCCUUGUGUUUACAAAAGGUCGUCAAUUCCAUUAUAGCAUUUUUAGUCUUAUAUGUAGAUGAUAUUCUACUUAUUGGAAAUGACGUAGGAUAUCUUACUGAUAUCAAGAAAUGGCUAGCUAUGCAAUUUCAAAUGAAAGAUCUGGGAGAUGCACAAUACGUUCUCGGAAUCCAAAUUGUUCGAAACCGUAAGAACAAAACACUAGCCAUGUCUCAAGCAUCUUACAUAGACAAAAAUGUUGUCUAGAUAUAAAAUGCAGAAUUCCAAAAAGGGUCUGCUGCCGUACAGAUAUGGAAUUCAUUUGUCAAAGGAACAAUGUCCUAAGACACCUCAAGAAGUUGAGGAUAUGAGAAAUAUUCCCUAUGCUUCCGCUGUUGGAAGUUUAAUGUAUGCAAUGUUAUGUACUAGACCUGACAUUUGCUACUCAGUAGGGAUGGUCAGUAGGUAUGGUCAGUAGGUAUCAAUCCAAUCAUGGACGUGAUCACUGGACAGCCGUUAAAAACAUUCUACAUGCUCAUGUAUCGUACAAAGGAUAUGAUCCUUACUGGAUACACUGAUUCGGAUUUCCAAACUAAUAAAGAUGUUAGAAAGUCUACAUCAGAAUCAGUAUUUACUCUAAAUGGAGGAGCAGUAGUUUGGAGAAGCAUAAAGCAAACUUGUAUAGCUGAUUCCACAAUGGAAGCUGAUCAUUUUACAAAAGCCCUCACGGCUAAAGUGUUUGAGGGUCACCUACACAGUUUAGGUGUACGAUGUUUGUAAACUAGGACAAGUGGGAGACUUAUUGGCCAUGUGCCCUAGUUUCAUAUAUAUUCUCUCACACCACAUCUCUCAUACCACUAGGAAUUUUAGUCCAAGUGGGAGUUUGUUGGAAUUUUUUGUCCUAAAACUCGUAGUUUGUAAAUCAUAUUCUAUUCAAUAAAGUUGUUAUUGAGAAAUUAAAUAUUAUAAUCUUAAAUCCAAUAAAUCAAAGUUCCAAGGCUAUUUUUUGAAUAAACUUGAACUUUAUGUGUAAACAUAAACGUGGAUCAAGUUCGAGUAUAUAGCCUAAAUAGUCUAUAGUAUAUGAAAUAAAGGUUGGGCGCCUUAUUUUGAGAGACUAUGGAUGCGGCCCACUUUGUAGUACAAACGAUGUGAUCCUAAUCGUUCAUGUAGAGACAUGAAAGUGGGGGCAUCCUAUGUAAAAUGUUUACAUAAGACUGAACCAUGAAUUAGUCAUUUUUACGUUAUAACACCGUUUACUGUUUAAAACUGACUAUCUCAAUUAUUGAUGACCUAGGUAACUUAGUCUUAAUCCUGAGUUAACUAUGAACUCCUGUUCAUACGAGAUUAUCCUUAGAUCUGCAUAGGUGAGGGCAGCUCAUCAGCGUUGGCCCAAUAAGCCUCCCAUUUCAGGGGUAAGAUCGGGUGGAUAGCUGGGAACAUAGGGUACAAGAUGGAAUUCACUCCUACCCGCUUUAGGGUUAGUAGAUAGGUUGCUCUCUUAAGCACUGAAUCCAAGUCUUGAACAAGGGGCCCCACCCUCUCAUUGGCCCGAGAGGGAUUAAGUUUAUAGGUUGAACCUUAAACCAAUUGUUCAAUAGUGGAUUAGUGGGACUUAAGGAGCAAGAUGUAAUCUUGGGGGUAAAACGGUAUUUUGACCCAGCCAAGGUUACGAGCAACCUGUGAAGGAUUAACUUACUGAUUAUGGUUUUAUCAAAUGGACACAAAUAUAUCUAUAGUGAGGGGAGUGCAACUACGGGACUUUAGUGGAAUGACCCGUUAGUUAACGAAUGUUGAUUAACUCGGUUUAAAAGAGUUUAGCUAGUUAAUCUUGAAUCGUUGGAGCCCAUGAUCUAUAGGUCCAUUAGGUUCCUCUGCUAGCUCAUAUGGAUUAAACUUAGAACAGUGUGAUGAAAUAAGUCGAAUUGUUCGAAUAGGGAGAAGAAAGGAAAACCGACAUAUACAGUGAUAUAAUCGUCGGUCUUCUAAUUAGAAAUAGAGCUUUAUGUUUUACAUACUAUAAGUAUGAAUGCGGAUUCAUACUAAGAAGCUCGGAAUUGGUCAAAAAUAGUAAAAAGUCAAAAUGUUGACUUUUGACUUUGAAAAGUCAAACUUUGACCGGCCUUAUAUUCAAAUGUGAUUUGAAUUUUGGAAAAAUGAAUGCGGAUUCAUGCUCGGGAGGUUGGAAUUAGUCAAGACGGACAAAAUGGUAAAAAGUCAAAAUAUUGACUUUUGACUUAGAAAAGUCAAAGUUUGACUUUUGACUAGAAAAAAUCUAAUGACCAUUUUACCCUUGGACUAAGUUAGUGGGAAAAUCCAACAUUUUGUUGGAUAAUCCCACUAACUCUUAGUGGGAUAUGUGGCUAUAUGAGAUAUAGACACCUAGCCCACUAAGUUCCACUAAUUGUUAGUGGAAUAUUAGGUGUUGAGAUUUGGCAAUUGAAUUGCAUGCAUUUUUGCAUGUAAUUAGGCUAUAAAUAGAGAUGUUUUCAAAUGUUGAAGGACUUUUGCCUCUUUUAUCAUUUUCAUAAUCUCAACAAAAGAAAAAAGAAAGCUUCCAAUCUCAUUUUAUCUCCAUUACUUUCUACACCAAAAUUGGGUCCCACAACCCGGUUCUUUGUCUAGAGGAUAGCAGUUGAGUACUAGUGGUGGUCUCGGGUAGAAUUGGUAAGAAGACAUCAAACCUUUUGUAAGCUUCAAAGGUAAUACUUCUUAAAACCCUAAUUUGAUUAGUUUAUGGUUACAUGUUAAUUGUGGCAAUUAGGGUAGAAAUUCGAUUCUUUUUCCGCUGUGCAUGACUNNNNNNNNNNGUGGAAUAUGAAAAUUGUACCUGGAUACUAGAUUCAGGAGCCACUAACCAUAUUUGCUUCUCAUUUCAGGAAAAUAGUUCUUGAAAAAGCUUUCAGAAGGCGAGAUCACUCUCAAGGUUGGAACAGGAGAGAUGGUCUCAACUUCAGCAGUGGGAGAUUUAAAGUUGUUUUUUAGAGAUAGAUAUGUCAUACUUAAGAAUGUCUUAUAUGUACCUCAAAUGAAAAGAAAUUUAAUAUCUAUCUCUUGUAUUUUGGAACAAAUGUAUAGAAUAUCUUUUGAAAUUAAUGAAGCGUUCGUUUUCUAUAAAGGUAUUCUAGUUUGUUCUGCUAUACUUGAAGACAACUUAUAUAAGUUAAGACCAACCAGAGCAAAUUUUGUCUUAAAUACUGAAAUAUUCAGAACAGCUGAAACUCAGAAUAAAAGACAAAAAGUUUCUUCUAAUGCCUAUUUAUGGCACUUAAGACUUGGUCACAUAAAUCUCAAUAGGAUUGGGAGAUUAGUUAAAAGUGGGCUUCUAAAUCAGUUAGAAAAUAAUACUUUACUCUCUUGUGAAUCUUGUCUUGAAAAAUGACCAAGAGAUCUUUUACUGGAAAAGGUCUAAGAGCCAAAGACCCUUAGAGCUCGUACAUUCGGACCUUUGUGGACCAAUGAAUGUCAAAGCUCGAGGUGGAUAUGAAUAUUUCAUUAGCUUCAUUGAUGAUUAUUCAAGGUAUGGUCAUAUUUACCUAAUACAUCAUAAGUCUAAUAGUCUUGAAAAGUUCAAAGAAUAUAAGGCUGAAGUAGAAAACGAAUUAGGUAAAACAAUAAAAAUACUUCGAUCAGAUCGAGGUGGAGAGUAUAUGGACUUACGAUUCCGAGACUAUUUAAUAGAAAAUGGAAUCCAGUCACAACUCUCUGCACCUAGUACACCUCAACAGAACGGUGUAUCAGAAAGAAGAAAC
rnacentral:lncRNA from 1 species